rnacentral:rRNA from 1 species
GACGAACGCUGGCGGCGUGCUUAACACAUGCAAGUCGAGCGGAAAGGCCCUUCGGGGUACUCGAGCGGCGAACGGGUGAGUAACACGUGAGUAACCUGCCCCAGACUUUGGGAUAACCCUCGGAAACGGGGGCUAAUACCGAAUAUUACAUUUCACCGCAUGGUGGUUUGUGGAAAGUUUUUCGGUUUGGGAUGGACUCGCGGCCUAUCAGCUUGUUGGUGGGGUAAUGGCCUACCAAGGCGAGGACGGGUAGCCGGCCUGAGAGGGCGAUCGGCCACACUGGGGACUGAGACACGGCCCAGACUCCUACGGGAGGCAG